rnacentral:misc_RNA from 1 species
CGAGGAGUAGCUUCUGCUCUGUCUGCCGUCUGCCCUUCAACAGUUUCACGUCGCUGUGAUUGAAAGUAGAACCUUCUAUCUCUCUGUCGACUAGCUCUUGACAGGGUAUUUUCUUCCUUUUGAGUCCAUGCUUGAGUGAUCAAAAUGCAGCACCUAUCGCAAUCGCAAAUUUCUUUGUACAUGACCUACCCUACCAAAACAAUCACCAUGACAACUACUAUAAGUUUCUAUUUGCACCGAUUAGGUGGUUGAGCGUAACAACAAAAGGCUGAGAUGUCUGUUGAUCUUUUUUCCGUUUUAAAACGAAAGAAAGGAAUGUAAUUUAGUCCAUGUCAUGUCUCAGUCACAGAGGCUCCAGACCUCCCCCUCUGCUUCUAAAAGGAGUGUUGCCAGUGAUGCUUUGCCUAAUCUUUCUGCGACUGCUCUGGGUGGAGGGCCACCCAAGGUUCGCCGCCUGUCCUUAUUUCCCCGCAGUGCCACAGAUGUUCAUGAGCUGUUUGCACCCCCAAGAGAGUUGUUGCGAGAGCCAAAACCCAGACGAUUCAAAGCAAAGCCUUGGAAAGAUGCUGUUGAGAAACCAGAGACGGUGGGGAAAUCGUACACUGAGUUGCGCAGAGAAAGAGAGGAGUUUCGUCAGAAGUUGGUGCAACUCAUCUUAUGUGAGGAUGGACCACCAGAUGGAACUGAAGAGAUUGGAGGAACACAACUGGACUUACCGAGUCGGGAAGAAAGAGUUGUUUUACGUUAUUAUUACUAUAUUCGUCAAGGGGUGGACACAGUCCAUGUCACAAGACUUGCCAGUGAGUCUCUAAAGCGCAUCUUGCAUCUUGUUCCCACUAAACUGAAGAAAUGGAAAGAUUUGCGCCGGGCUCUGACUCAGGAAGUGAAGGAGGACUUCCUCAUGAGUGUGAAGAAAGCCAUUGUAGAUUUUGUUCUUCAAGACACUGCUGAGGGUGACAUGAGGAUUCCUGAGGAAGAUACUGAAGAAAGGAGGACUCUUAAAACAAUAAGUAAAUCAUGGAGUGCUUCUUAUGCUGCUGUCCGCAACAAAAAUUUACACAACCUUCAUGCUGUCAAUCCAUGCAUGGCCCAGGUUUUGGACCUUUGGCAAAAGAAUUAUACAGAGUUACGCCUCUUGGAGCUGCAAGAACUUUCAAAAGCCAGAUUAGCCGUUGAUCUGAUGGAAUUUCAAACUUGGAGCAGGAAAGCCAUUGAUUCUGCUAGAAACAAACUCCUGAAUGUCUGGUACCCUUCCAUACAGAGUAUUUAUAGUCAAGGCUACAAGAAGAAACUUGUUCCUAGCACAGAAAAUAAAACAGCCAACAGAAACUUUUUUAAUUGUCUUGCCACUCUAAUGUCAUACCAGUUGCAGUGUUUGGGCUUAUCCUCACUGCAUGAUUACAUGCAUUUCAUCAAUGAUAUUGGGUACUCUAAUCCAGGUUUUAAAGUGCAUUUGAAUCUUCGCCAAAAAACAAUCCAGUUUGAACCUGCCUUCCACAUGUACAGAGAUAUAUUAUGUAAAUUACUAGAUUUAUUGGUGGAAUCUGUUGGGGAUCUCCCUAGAAUGGAAAGUCGACUGUAUGCUGAUUGGGAUGGCCCUGUGGAGGAACUUCAUCCUGUAAUCCCUGAAGACCUAAUUGAGUCAUACAAAGAAAAUAUUAAGGAGCUCAUAGAAGAACACAGAAUAGGUGUUGAAAUGAGAGUAGAAGAUUUUGAUCCCUACAUAAAACUUGUCAACAGUGAGGCUCAAGAAGAACUUGAAGUCUUUUUAUCUGAAGAACACAACUUUGAAGAAUAUUGUGCUGAAGUCAAGAAGUAUUACAAAUUGCAAGUGGAAAUGCCAAUGAACCUAGAACACACAAUAACAAUGGGUAUAUUUGAUAUGCACCGAGCAGAAUUUAUUGGUGCUUUGGUUCACUCUGCAAAGAACCUCAAAGAGCAGCUGCUGGCCCGCAUGACUCAAGACUACCAAGAAAUGUGUAAAAAACUAGGUGAGGAGUAUGCAGAUAUUGCUGAACGAGCCCUCACAGUGCCAGAAUCUACUGAAGAAUUAAUGGCAUUAAUUGAAUAUGUGCAAGCAGUUGAGAGUGAUACUGUUGUGGAAAUGGAAGAUCGGCUUCGUGUUGUUGUGUCUUACAUGCUUUUCCUUGCUGAUUACACUACUUACUCUCCUAUUGAAAUGAAACACAAUUCCAUCACACUUCAGUGGUACAAUCGAAUGCCCAGUGUAUUUGAUGAUAACAGAGCAAUGUGUGAACAGAAAACAGUUGAAUUCCAAGAAGCAUUAAAGAUGAAAAUUGAAAGUUUUACUGCUGAUUUGGAGGCUUAUGCUAAACAAGUUGAGGAAUUCCCUAGCUAUGGUGAUGUUGAUGACCUACCAAAAUAUUUUAAGAAAAUGAAUCAACUAGAUGCUAAACUAGAGCAAGCAUUUGAACGUAUAGAACAAUUCAAUGCUGAAGAACGUGCUUUUAGCUUUGAAGAAACAGAUUAUCCUACAUUAAAAAUGCUCAAUGAAGCUCUUGGACCAUACAAGAAGCUGUAUUCAAAUGGCAUGGACUUUGUGGAGAAACAUCUAAUGUGGAUGUCUCAUCAAGUAGGUUCAUUUGAACCAGAGGAGAUAGAGAAUGAGACAGGUGCCUGCUAUCGCAACAUACACAAGUUGGAGAAAGCAUUGAAUGAUGCCCCAGCUGCAAAGAACCUUGCCACUGUUCUACUAGAGAAAAUAGACGAAUUUAAACAGCAUCAGCCAAUCAUAAAUACUCUUGGAAAUCCAGGCAUGAAAACAAGACAUUGGGAACAGGUGUCUGAAUUGGUUGGUUUUCCUCUCCGAGCCGACCCUGAUUUGACUUUAGCUCGUGUACUAGACUUAGGUCUUGAUGAAUAUGUACCUCGUUUGGAAGUCAUAAGUGAGUCAGCAACUAAAGAAAAUAAUUUAGAAAAGACUCUUGACAAGAUGAUGAAAGAGUGGGGAGAUAUGGAAUUUAUUGUUGUUCCUUAUAGGGACUCUGGAACAUAUAUUUUAUCCAGUGUGGAUGACAUUCAAUUAAUGUUAGACGAUCAUAUAACUAAGGUGCAAACAAUGAAAAAUUCACCCUAUAUCAAGCCUUUUGAGCAAACAAUACAAGUCUGGGAAGGUAAACUAAUGUUACUUCAAGAUGUUUUGGAUGACUGGCUCAAAGUGCAGAGCACUUGGUUGUAUUUAGAACCAAUUUUCUCUUCACCUGAUAUUCAACAGCAAAUGCCUGAAGAAGGAAGACGAUUUUCAGCUGUCGAUAAGGUGUGGAAAGAUAUCAUGAAAGCAGUCUUAACAGAUUUGCAUGUCCUGGUUGUUCUUGAAAUUGAGAAGUUAUCAGAACGCUUGAAAAAGAGCAAUCAAUUGUUGGAGCUAAUUCUCAAAGGCCUUAAUGAGUAUCUGGAGAAAAAACGUGCAUUCUUUCCAAGAUUCUAUUUUCUGUCUAAUGAAGAAUUACUUGAAAUACUUUCUGAAACCAAAGAUCCCACUCGAGUUCAGCCCCAUUUGAAAAAAUGUUUUGAAGGUAUAGCCAAGCUCACUUUUACUGAUGAUCUGGAUGUGACUGUGAUAAAAUCUAGUGAGGGUGAAGAGGUGGCACUGGUUGAUGUCAUAUCCACAAGCAAGGCUCGUGGGCAAGUUGAAAAGUGGCUUCUUGAACUCGAAGCGGAUAUGAAGAAAAGUGUUAGAAAGAUGGUUUGUGAUGCGAUGGAGGCUUAUCCAACAAAAGCUCGUUCAGAGUGGGUGUUUGACUGGCCUGGCCAAACGGUUCUAUGUGUUGCAAUGACUUAUUGGACUUCCCAAGUUCAUGAAAGCAUAAGAGGCGGUGAAAAGGGCUUGCAAGCCUUCCUUGAAAAGAGCAAUUUUGAAAUAGGUCAAAUAAUUGAAUUGGUUAGAGGCAAACUAUCAACGCAAACGCGUAUAACUUUGGGUGCCCUUGUGGUUUUGGAUGUCCAUGCUCGAGAUGUUUUAGCAGGCUUGGUUAAUCAGAAGGUAUCUAGAGAGGAUGAUUUUGCUUGGCUCUGUCAGCUUAGAUACUAUUGGGAAGAAGACCAAAUGGCUACUCGGAUGAUAAGUGCCCAAUUGAUGUAUGGGUAUGAGUACUUGGGUAAUUCACCUCGUCUUGUCAUAACGCCAUUGACAGAUCGUUGUUAUCGCACUCUCUUUGGAGCUCUGCAACUACAUCUUGGAGGAGCCCCUGAGGGCCCCGCAGGAACUGGAAAAACAGAAACAACCAAAGAUCUGGCAAAAGCUGUUGCAAAGCAGUGUGUUGUUUUUAACUGCUCCGAUGGUCUUGAUUAUAUUGCACUCGGAAAGUUCUUUAAGGGCUUAGCAUCUUGCGGAGCAUGGGCUUGUUUUGAUGAAUUUAAUCGUAUUGAUUUGGAAGUUUUGUCAGUAGUAGCUCAACAAAUCCUGACCAUUCAACGUGGAAUCAAUUCAGGAACUGAACGGAUUAUGUUUGAAGGUUCAGAUAUUCCUCUUGACCCUACUUGUUCUGUUUUCAUUACUAUGAAUCCUGGUUAUGCUGGUAGAUCUGAACUACCAGACAACCUUAAGGCUUUGUUCCGGUCUGUUGCUAUGAUGGUUCCAGACUAUGCCAUGAUAUCAGAAAUAGUACUGUAUUCAUGUGGCUUCAUCAAUGCCAGACCCCUAGCUGUGAAAAUUGUUGCCACUUACAAACUAUGCUCAGAGCAGCUUUCAUCUCAGUGUCAUUAUGACUACGGAAUGCGAGCAGUGAAAUCAGUUUUGAUUGCUGCGGGGAACUUAAAGCUGAGAUAUCCUGAAGAAUCAGAAGAUAUAUUGAUGCUGCGCUCCAUCAAAGAUGUUAAUCUGCCUAAGUUUUUGACUCAUGACUUACCUCUGUUUCUUGGAAUCACUUCUGAUCUAUUCCCUGGUGUCAUCCUACCCAAACCAUCAUAUGAUGUGUUGAACAAAGAAGUACGAGCUGCCUGCCAGUCAGCCAACAUCCAAUGUACUGAUCACUUUUUAGAAAAAGUUCAGCAAAUUUAUGAAAUGAUGAUUGUUCGCCACGGUUUUAUGAUUGUGGGCUUACCAUUUGGUGGAAAAACAACAGCUUACAGAAUGCUUGCUGAUGCCUUGGGAAAAAUUGAAGAAAGUGGAGAAAUGGAGGAAAAUAAAGUACAAAUUACUGUUAUAAACCCUAAGUCUAUCACUAUGGGUCAGUUGUAUGGUCGGUUCGACCCAGCAUCUCAUGAAUGGUCUGACGGUGUUUUGGCUAUUUGCUACCGCCAGUUUGCAGCUUCAACAUCACCUGAUAGGAAAUGGUUGAUAUUUGAUGGGCCUGUGGAUGCUAUUUGGAUUGAAAACAUGAAUACUGUGUUGGAUGACAAUAAAAAAUUAUGCCUUAUGUCUGGUGAAAUAAUUCAGUUGUCUCCAACCACUAAUCUUAUUUUUGAGCCAAUGGACUUGGAGGUGGCCUCUCCUGCUACGGUUUCCCGUUGUGGAAUGAUAUACAUGGAGCCUUCCACUCUGGGCUGGGAAGUCAUCGUGGUAUCAUGGUUGAAUACUUUACCCACAGCAAUCAAUGAUCAUAACAAGACUAUGAUUAAGUCUAUGUUUUUGCGAUUUUGCCCACCUCUUCUUUGGAUAAUUAGGAGAGGAUACACAAAGGAAAUUUCUCCCACUCUUGAUUCUAAUCUUGUUCGAUCGCUUACAAGAAUUUUUGAUUGUUAUAUGGAUGAUUUUGGAGAUCCUGCUUUUGUAGAAGGUAUCUCAGACUUGGAUAUUAGAGCCCAGCUAGAGGGUGUGUUUUUCUUUUCAUGCAUUUGGGCUUUGGGGGGCAACUUAGAUUCUGCAAGCAGAGAGAAGUUCAGCACGCUAUUUCGGGGUUUGCUUGAAAAAGAAUUUCCUGCAAAACUUAAGUCAGACUUUGGACUUUUAGAAAAUGUUCCUCCACCUGUGAAAAACUACAUUUUUACCAUUCCAACUGAUGGCCAGGUGUUUGACUACAAAUUCAUUAAAGAGGGUAAAGGAAAGUGGAAACUGUGGGCAGAUGAUCUUGCUAACUGCCCCCCUAUUCCACGUGAUGUUCCUGUUAAUCAGAUCAUAGUUCCUACUAUAGAGACAAUACGAUGCACCACUCUUAUGAUGAUGCUCUCCACUCACAUGAAGCCUUUGAUGUUAAUUGGUCCAACUGGAACAGGAAAAUCAGUGUACACCUCAGAUUUUCUCUUGAAGAAGCUUGAUUCCAAUCAGUACAAGGCCCUCUUUAUUAACUUUUCUGCUCAAACAUCGGCAAAUCAGACCCAGGACAUCAUAAUGAGUAAACUGGAUAAGCGACGGAAAGGUGUUUAUGGACCACCAUUGGGCAAAGUUUGUGUUGUCUUUAUUGAUGAUGUGAGCAUGCCUAUGAAGGAGACCUAUGGUGCACAGCCACCUAUUGAAAUUUUGAGACAGCUCCUAGACCAUGAACAGUGGUAUGAUCGCAAGGACAUUGUGCCCAUGAAAAUAGUUGAUUUAUUGAUGAUGUGUGCAAUGGGUCCACCUAGUGGAGGCAAUACUGUUACACCACGAUUUUCUAGACAUUUCAACCAACUCUGUAUUAAUGAAUUUAAUGAUGAAACUAUGAUAGCUAUUUUCAGCAAAAUUAUGCUAUGGCACCUUGACACAAGGGGUUUCAGCAAGGAGUUUGAUCCAUGUAUCGAUGAAAUAGUUCUUGCCACAUUAGAUGUCUACAAACAAAGUUUAUCAAACUUACUUCCAACUCCCACCAAAUCUCAUUAUUUGUUCAAUCUCCGAGACUUCUCAAGAGUUAUUCAGGGUGUGCUCCUUUCUGUUCCUGAGACAAUGGAGGAUCUCAUUGCUAUGAAAAGGUUGUGGGUUCAUGAAGUGCUUCGUGUUUACUAUGACCGCUUAGUUGAUGACAACGACCGCUCUUGGUUAAUAAACACAUUACAUGCAAUUUGUAAGCCAAGGCUAUCAGAGGACUUGAACAAAAUGUUCUCUCGAAUAGCUACCCCAGGGCAACCUGUCGGUGAAGCUGAACUCCGGAAAUUAAUAUACUGCGACUUUACUGAUCCAAAAGCUGACACACGUCAUUAUCUAGAAGUUCAAGAUUUGGAUCACCUCAGGGGUGUAACUGAAGGCUAUCUCGUUGAAUUUAAUAACAUGACAAAAAAACCUAUGAACCUUGUUCUCUUUAGGUUUGCUGUAGAGCACUUAUCUCGGAUAUGCCGAAUUCUGAAACAGCCAAGGAGUCAUGGUCUUCUUGUUGGAGUGGGUGGUUCUGGAAGGCAGUCCCUUACUAGACUAGCAACACACAUAUCAGAAUAUGACUUUUAUCAGGUUGAGAUGACUAGGACAUAUGGAUCUGAUGAGUGGCACGAAGAUCUGAAGAACAUUCUAAGCAAGACAGCAGGCACUGAUGUCCAUGGCGUUUUCCUGUUUACUGACACUCAAAUCAAGGAAGAAACCUUCCUAGAAGAUAUAAAUAACUUGCUGAAUUCUGGGGAAGUUCCAAAUCUUUUCCCAUCGGAUGAGAAAAUGGAAAUCUGUGAAAAGAUGAGAGUUCUUGACCGCCAAAAGGAAAAGUCUCAGCAGACUGAUGGAAGUCCUGUUGCUUUGUUCAAUAUGUUUGCUCAAAUUGUUAGAGAACAACUGCACAUUGUAUUAGCAAUGAGUCCUAUUGGUGAUGGAUUCCGCAACAACAUCCGCAAAUUCCCAUCUAUUGUUAAUUGUUGCACAAUCGAUUGGUUCCAGCCGUGGCCGGAAGAUGCACUUCAGGCGGUUGCAACACGAUUCCUAAGUGAAAUUGAGCUUCCACAUUCUGAAAGAGAGGCUUGUAUUGAAACUUGCAAAAUGUUUCAUACCAGUACUCACUCUCUAUCAAGGGAAAUGUUGACAAGAUUCAAUCGAAAAAGCUAUGUUACACCAACUUCUUAUCUUGAACUAAUUUCCACUUUUAAGACUCUUUUGUCCAAAAAAAGAUCAGACAUCCUCACUGUCAAAUCAAGGUACGAAGUUGGGCUUGGGAAGUUGGAUAGCGCUGCUGAACAAGUAGGACUCAUGCAAAAUGAACUAGUUGCAUUGCAGCCAAAGUUGCUUGAGGCUUCAGCUCAGGUUCAGGUCAUGAUGGCCAAAGUUGAGUCAGAAAGUGCUGAUGUUGCAAAGGUUGCAGAGGUAGUAAAAGCAGAUGAAGAGGUUGCCAAUGAACAGGCAGCAGCUGCCCAGGCUAUCAAGGAUGAAUGUGAUGCUGACUUGGCAGAGGCAUGGCCUAUAAUGGAGGCUGCCCUGGCAGCACUUAACACACUCACUCCAGCAGACAUUACUGUAGUGAAAGCAAUGAAGAACCCUCCCAAAGGUGUCAAGAUUGUCAUGGAAGCUAUCUGUAUCCUCAAGGAAGUUAAACCAGAUCGUAUUCCAGACCCCACUUCUGGAAAGAUGACAGAAGACUACUGGGGCCCUUCAAAGAGAGUUUUGAACGACAUUAAAUUCCUAGAAAGCUUGAUUUUGUAUGAUAAAGACAAUAUACCACCUGCCAUUAUGCAGAAAUUGUUUAAAUCAAUUCUGAAUGAUGAAAGUUUUGAUCCUGACAAGAUCAAGUCUGCAUCUACUGCUGCUGAGGGCUUAUGCAAAUGGGUUAUAGCGAUUUCCAAAUAUGAUAAAGUAGCUAAAGUAGUUGCACCUAAAAAGGCUCGAUUGGCAAUAGCUGAGGGUCAGUAUUCAGUGGCCAUGCAAGCAUUGGAGGUGAAACGGAAUCAACUGAAAGAAGUUCAAGAUAAGUUAAAGAAACUGGAAGAUGUUCUGGAAUUGAACAAAAGUCGCAUGCAAGAACUUCAAGAUGACACGGAUCUUUGUAAACUUAAACUUCAAAGAGCUGAGGAAUUGAUUGGAGGCUUGGGUGGAGAGAAAUCAAGAUGGAUGUCCACAGCUAAAGCGUUAGGAGAGCGUUAUUACAUGUUAACUGGUGAUGUUUUGAUUGGGGCUGGUGUUGUGGCCUAUCUGGGGCCAUUCCCUGCUCAAAUGAGAGCAAAGCAAAUUUCAGAAUGGAUUCAGUUGGUGUCUAGUUUUAGCAUAGUUUGCUCAUCUGAUUUUGCUCUGACUACCACUCUAGGAGAUGCAGUGGAAAUUCGUCAAUGGAAUAUAUUUGGACUACCAACUGAUUCAUUCUCUGUAGAAAAUGCCAUUAUUGUCAAAAAUGCUCGUCGUUGGCCUUUAAUUAUUGAUCCACAAGGUCAAGCCAACCGCUGGAUUAAAAAUAUGGAGAAAGCUAACAAUUGUUCUGUUGUUCGAUUAUCAAAUCCCGACUACAUGCGUGUGCUGGAAAAUUGUAUCCAAUUCGGUCAGCCUGUCCUUAUGGAAAACUUGGGAGAAGAUCUGGAUGCUGUUCUGGAACCCCUACUUCUUCGACAAGUUUUUAAACAAGGAGCAGGAAUGUGUAUAAAACUAGGAGAUAGUGUUGUAGAGUAUAAUGACAAUUUCCGAUUUUAUAUGACAACAAAACUGCGAAAUCCACACUACUUACCAGAAAUAGCUGUGAAAGUCACACUCUUGAACUUCAUGAUUACACCUGAUGGGUUGCAAGACCAGCUGUUGGGUAUAGUCGUUGCCAAAGAACGACCUGAUCUGGAAGCUGAAAAGAACCAGCUUAUUGUUCAAGGAGCAGAAAAUAAGAGAAUGCUGCAGGAGAUUGAGGAUAAAAUAUUGUUUGUCUUAUCAUCUUCUGAGGGCAAUAUACUUGAAGAUGAAACAGCUGUUCAAAUCCUUAGUUCAUCUAAAUCUCUUGCCAAUGAAAUAGCUGAGAAACAAUCAGUUGCUGAAGUGACUGAAAAAUCAAUUGAUUCUGCCAGACUAGUCUACUCUCCCAUUGCGGUGCACUCAACCAUUCUCUUCUUCACGACAGCGGACUUGGCAAAUAUUGACCCAAUGUACCAGUAUUCUUUGUCAUGGUUUGUUAAUUUAUUCAAAAUGACUAUUGAUAACACAGAUCCUGUAGAUGAAGUAAAUCAACGAAUUGUCGGUCUCAUCAAUGGUUUUACCUAUGCUCUGUAUUGCAAUAUCUGUCGCAGUCUUUUUGAAAAGGACAAGCUCCUGUUUUCUUUGGUACUAUGUGUUAAUUUAAUGAAACAAGAAAACAAAGUAAAUGGGGAGGACUGGAUGUUUUUCCUAACAGGAGGAGUGGGCUUGGAUAAUCCACAUCCCAACCCAACCGUAUGGUUGGAUUCUCCUUCUUGGGACACUAUGUGUCGUUUGGAUGACAUUCCCUCAUUCCAAGGUAUACGUGCUGAUUUUGAAAGUAACGUAGGAGCGUGGAAGUCAUAUUUUGACAGCGCAGAGCCUCAAAACACAGCCAUCCCUGGAUCCUGGAAUACAAAGCUAAAUGAAUUCCAAAAACUUCUCAUUUUGAGAGCCUUACGAGCUGAUAAAGUUGUCUCAGGCAUUCAGAAUUAUCUUUCCGCCAAUAUGGGAAGCAAAUUUGUGGAGCCACCACCUUUUGAUUUGAUUUCAUCAUUCAAUGACUCGCAUAGCUGCAUUCCUCUCAUAUUCAUUUUGACUCCGGGUGCAGAUCCUACAGCAAUUCUCUUGAAAUUUGCUGAUGAUCAGGGAUUUGGUACCAAUCGCUUAUUUUCUCUGUCACUGGGACAAGGCCAAGGGCCAAUAGCAGUGAAACUGAUAGAGGAAGGUGUGAAAAGCGGUACAUGGGUUGUUUUGCAAAAUUGCCAUCUGGCCAAAAGCUUCAUGCCUACACUGGAAAAGAUUGUGGAAAACUUGUCACCCGAAAACACUCAUCCUGACUUUCGUUUAUGGUUGACUUCCUAUCCUACUGAACAUUUCCCUGUACUGGUUCUGCAAAAUGGUGUGAAAAUGACCAAUGAGCCACCUAAAGGACUGCGGGCCAAUAUAAUUCGGUCCUUCUUGAGCGAUCCUAUUACAGACCCAGAGUGGUUUGAAAGUUGUCAUCAGAGCGACAUAUUCAAACAAAUGUUGUUUGCUCUGUGCUUUUUCCAUGCUGUGGUUCAAGAGCGACGCAAAUUUGGUCCUCUUGGCUGGAACUUCCCCUAUGAGUUCAAUGAAACAGAUUUGCGAAUAAGCGUACAGCAACUUCACAUGUUCUUGGAUUUGUAUGAGGAGGUCCAAUAUGAUGCUCUUCGAUAUCUUACUGGUGAAUGCAACUACGGUGGAAGAGUGACAGAUGACUGGGAUAGAAGGUGCUUGAACACCAUCCUCUCAAAGUUUUAUUGUUCUGAACUUGUAGGAAAUGCUGAUUAUGCCUUUGAUCCAUCUGGAAAGUACAAAGUGCCAAUUUAUAAAGAAUAUGAGGCUUACCUUUCAUAUAUCAAGAGCCUCCCCUUGAUAACACAUCCUGAGGUGUUUGGGAUGAAUGAAAAUGCUGAUAUAAUCAAAGAUCAGCAGGAGACAAGUCUUCUGUUGUCUACAAUACUUCUGACUGAGAUUGUCUGGCUGCUUUAAUUUUGCUCUGCUUGUUAAUUUAUGCCCAUUCCUUAAUUUUCAUGCUCUCAGGAUAGAGUUGAUCUCUUAGCAUUAGAGAAGAUGGAAGCGGAUGUGGCUGCAGCUGGGACUGGAAAGAAGUCUCAAGAUGAGGUCGUCAUUGAGCAAUCUGCCGAUAUCAUCAGCAGGCUGCCAGCCAACUUCGAUACGGAAAUUG